GUGGGUGGCUCAGUGGUUAAGAGCACUGACUGCUCUUCCAGAGGACCCGGGUUCAAUUCCCAGCACCCACA
rnacentral:tRNA from 1 species